CUUUAUAUUUUGCAUUUUUAAUUGAUUCCUUAAUAAAAGAAAGUGCUGCUUUGAGGCAGAAUACAAAAGAAACUCUUAGGCAUGCUGAGGUUCUCAAGCAACAAUCAUUUGAACUAGACAAAACAGCAGACCUGCUAGAAAAGAAGAAAAAUCAUUUCAAACAGCAACUUGAAAAGAUGGCAGAAGAUGAAAAUCAUCCUGAAGUGGCAGAAGGAGAAAAUGUCAAAAGUAUUGGAACAAAAGGUUUUGAUGAAAGGUAGAGAAUCAUCAUUUGGUAAAUGAAAAACAUCAGAUUUAUAAAUCACUGCAUCUCUCCAGUAUUUCUGAGCAGUUAGCCCAAAAUGU
rnacentral:lncRNA from 1 species